rnacentral:rRNA from 1 species
GAUGAACGCUGGCGGCGUGCCUAAUACAUGCAAGUCGAGCGAAUGGAUUAAGAGCUUGCUCUUAUGAAGUUAGCGGCGGACGGGUGAGUAACACGUGGGUAACCUGCCCAUAAGACUGGGAUAACUCCGGGAAACCGGGGCUAAUACCGGAUAACAUUUUGAACCGCAUGGUUCGAAAUUGAAAGGAGGCUUCGGCUGUCAAUUAUGGAUGGACCCGCGUCGCAUUAGCUAGUUGGUGAGGUAACGGCUCACCAGGGCAACGAUGCGUAGCCGACCUGAGAGGGUGAUCGGCCACACUGGGACUGAGACACGGCCCAGACUCCUACGGGAGGCAGCAGUAGGGAAUCUUCCGCAAUGGACGAAAGUCUGACGGAGCAACGCCGCGUGAGUGAUGAAGGCUUUCGGGUCGUAAAACUCUGUUGUUAGGGAAGAACAAGUGCUAGUUGAAUAAGCUGGCACCUUGACGGUACCUAACCAGAAAGCCACGGCUAACUACGUGCCAGCCGCCGCGGUAA